AACGCACGAGACCUGCGGACCUGCGGAGGGAUCAUUAUAAAAAUAUGGUCAGAACCAUUCUCCUGUGAUUUACGUAAUUGUGUAUACUUUGGCAGGCUUUGGGUCGUUAUCGAUUCAUCUUCUACGUUCGUGUGUAUAGGCGAAUGUCUGAAGCUGGCCUGUCAGAGGUUUUCAAUAAACACACACGUUUAAACUACAGUCUGAAAAUCUCUUUCGAGAGAAUUAAAACAAAUGUAAAUA
rnacentral:misc_RNA from 1 species